GAGGACAAAACAUAGUGCAAAUAUUGCUACACACUAUAAAACCACUAAUAAAAAAUAUGCACUCACAUAUUCCAAAGAAUAUAAGCGUAUUUAGGGUGCCUCCCCCUAAGUGUAAAAAGGGGGGGUUGUUCUCCUUUAAUUCUCCCUCCUCAAGUGAUAGCCAGUGGGGUAUCCAGGUCAGCGAGAAGAUCCAAGCAAAUGCAACCAAAGGAAUACUUCAAAGGCGAUUUAUUCACUUGUAAAAUUCAAGAGGUGUAUAAAAAAUACAUAAAAACAAUAUAAGAAAGAGAUGCUGGUCCUACGCGUUUCGUCCUUAUACAGAAGGACUUCCUCAGGGACCUCUUUCAGC